AAUUAGCUAGCUCGUUAGCUAUCUAGCUUAUAGACACUUUCAUAUUUUAUCAAUUGCCGACGCAAACCUUCCCCCCUGAAAGAAAUGCAUGCACGUUCACGCCUCGUACCCCAAAGACCGUUAUCACUUUAAUUAUUGCUGAAUGCUCAUCUACUUUUUUUUCCUUCUAAAUAUUCAAUGAAGACCGGCAAUGAAUGUUAUUUACCCAGCAGGUGGAUAUGACGUAAUGGACUUGGAACAUCAAAAAAUAACAACAUCCAAAUCCGCGAUGCCCCUUUUUCUUUCAAGGCGCAUUAAAAUGUAAUAACAUCACAAGGCGCUCGCCUUCAUAUUCGAGGCAGAAGGUGGUGUGAAACUGUACAUUGCCUCCGUGCAACGUUGCAUUGCGAGUAUGCAGCAGAGUUAGUCCCGCGAGCGGAGUAAUAUUGUUAGUGUUUACAGCGUGGUUGCUGCACGCUUUCCUGAUACACAAGAUCGCAUGUAUAGUUCAUUAUUUCAAGCACAAGAUUUUUUUUCUCCUCCUGCGCUGAUCUACCAUUUCUCUCGCGUACGGUGAAACGGCAUCGGUGACCCCUUGACGGCUUGCCGCUGAAUGUCCCCUGAAUGGAUGAGAUGUCCAUCUUGCUCACACAGCUGAACACGGGUAACAAGGCUGAUCUCUUAGAAUCGGAAGUGAAGAUUGCUUUAAGCAAGCAAGCCCUUGUAGAAGGU